GAAUGGGGAAACCCAGUGUGUUUCGACACACUAUCAUUAACUGAAUCCAUAGGUUAAUGAGGCGAACCGGGGGAACUGAAACAUCUAAGUACCCCGAGGAAAAGAAAUCAACCGAGAUUCCCCCAGUAGCGGCGAGCGAACGGGGAGGAGCCCAGAGCCUGAAUCAGUGUGUGUGUUAGUGGAAGCGUCUGGAAAGGCGCGCGAUACAGGGUGACAGCCCCGUACACAAAAAUGCACAUACUGUGAGCUCGAUGAGUAGGGCGGGACACGUGGUAUCCUGUCUGAAUAUGGGGGGACCAUCCUCCAAGGCUAAAUACUCCUGACUGACCGAUAGUGAACCAGUACCGUGAGGGAAAGGCGAAAAGAACCCCGGCGAGGGGAGUGAAAAAGAACCUGAAACCGUGUACGUACAAGCAGUGGGAGCCUCUUAAUGGGGUGACUGCGUACCUUUUGUAUAAUGGGUCAGCGACUUAUAUUCUGUAGCAAGGUUAACCGAAUAGGGGAGCCGAAGGGAAACCGAGUCUUAACUGGGCGUUAAGUUGCAGGGUAUAGACCCGAAACCCGGUGAUCUAGCCAUGGGCAGGUUGAAGGUUGGGUAACACUAACUGGAGGACCGAACCGACUAAUGUUGAAAAAUUAGCGGAUGACUUGUGGCUGGGGGUGAAAGGCCAAUCAAACCGGGAGAUAGCUGGUUCUCCCCGAAAGCUAUUUAGGUAGCGCCUCGUGAAUUCAUCUCCGGGGGUAGAGCACUGUUUCGGCAAGGGGGUCAUCCCGACUUACCAACCCGAUGCAAACUGCGAAUACCGGAGAAUGUUAUCACGGGAGACACACGGCGGGUGCUAACGUCCGUCGUGAAGAGGGAAACAACCCAGACCGCCAGCUAAGGUCCCAAAGUCAUGGUUAAGUGGGAAACGAUGUGGGAAGGCCCAGACAGCCAGGAUGUUGGCUUAGAAGCAGCCAUCAUUUAAAGAAAGCGUAAUAGCUCACUGGUCGAGUCGGCCUGCGCGGAAGAUGUAACGGGGCUAAACCAUGCACCGAAGCUGCGGCAGCGACGCUUAUGCGUUGUUGGGUAGGGGAGCGUUCUGUAAGCCUGUGAAGGUGGCCUGUGAGGGUUGCUGGAGGUAUCAGAAGUGCGAAUGCUGACAUAAGUAACGAUAAAGCGGGUGAAAAGCCCGCUCGCCGGAAGACCAAGGGUUCCUGUCCAACGUUAAUCGGGGCAGGGUGAGUCGACCCCUAAGGCGAGGCCGAAAGGCGUAGUCGAUGGGAAACAGGUUAAUAUUCCUGUACUUGGUGUUACUGCGAAGGGGGGACGGAGAAGGCUAUGUUGGCCGGGCGACGGUUGUCCCGGUUUAAGCGUGUAGGCUGGUUUUCCAGGCAAAUCCGGAAAAUCAAGGCUGAGGCGUGAUGACGAGGCACUACGGUGCUGAAGCGACAAAUGCCCUGCUUCCAGGAAAAGCCUCUAAGCAUCAGGUAACAUUAAAUCGUACCCCAAACCGACACAGGUGGUCAGGUAGAGAAUACCAAGGCGCUUGAGAGAACUCGGGUGAAGGAACUAGGCAAAAUGGUGCCGUAACUUCGGGAGAAGGCACGCUGAUAUGUAGGUGAAGCGACUUGCUCGUGGAGCUGAAAUCAGUCGAAGAUACCAGCUGGCUGCAACUGUUUAUUAAAAACACAGCACUGUGCAAACACGAAAGUGGACGUAUACGGUGUGACGCCUGCCCGGUGCCGGAAGGUUAAUUGAUGGGGUUAGCGGUAACGCGAAGCUCUUGAUCGAAGCCCCGGUAAACGGCGGCCGUAACUAUAACGGUCCUAAGGUAGCGAAAUUCCUUGUCGGGUAAGUUCCGACCUGCACGAAUGGCGUAAUGAUGGCCAGGCUGUCUCCACCCGAGACUCAGUGAAAUUGAACUCGCUGUGAAGAUGCAGUGUACCCGCGGCAAGACGGAAAGACCCCGUGAACCUUUACUAUAGCUUGACACUGAACAUUGAGCCUUGAUGUGUAGGAUAGGUGGGAGGCUUUGAAGUGUGGACGCCAGUCUGCAUGGAGCCGACCUUGAAAUACCACCCUUUAAUGUUUGAUGUUCUAACGUGGGCCCCUUACCGGGGUUGCGGACAGUGUCUGGUGGGUAGUUUGACUGGGGCGGUCUCCUCCUAAAGAGUAACGGAGGAGCACGAAGGUUGGCUAAUCCUGGUCGGACAUCAGGAGGUUAGUGCAAUGGCAUAAGCCAGCUUGACUGCGAGCGUGACGGCGCGAGCAGGUGCGAAAGCAGGUCAUAGUGAUCCGGUGGUUCUGAAUGGAAGGGCCAUCGCUCAACGGAUAAAAGGUACUCCGGGGAUAACAGGCUGAUACCGCCCAAGAGUUCAUAUCGACGGCGGUGUUUGGCACCUCGAUGUCGGCUCAUCACAUCCUGGGGCUGAAGUAGGUCCCAAGGGUAUGGCUGUUCGCCAUUUAAAGUGGUACGCGAGCUGGGUUUAGAACGUCGUGAGACAGUUCGGUCCCUAUCUGCCGUGGGCGCUGGAGAACUGAGGGGGGCUGCUCCUAGUACGAGAGGACCGGAGUGGACGCAUCACUGGUGUUCGGGUUGUCAUGCCAAUGGCACUGCCCGGUAGCUAAAUGCGGAAGAGAUAAGUGCUGAAAGCAUCUAAGCACGAAACUUGCCCCGAGAUGAG
rnacentral:rRNA from 1 species